GCAAACUUGGUCAUUUAGAGGAAGUAAAAGUCGUAACAAGGUUUCCGUAGGUGAACCUGCGGAAGGAUCAUUAUUGAAUAUGCUUGAUGGGUUGUUGCUGGCCCCUCGGGGCAUGUGCACACUUGUCUUGACUCUAUUCAUCCACCUGUGCACCUAUUGUAGUUUCCUGAUUUCUAGUUUUGAAAGGUCAAGGGAAGCGACUUCACUCAAUCAGAUACUGAUUGGAUUUGGGACUUGCCUUUGGGCUGUUCCUUCUGAGUUGUGGAACAUUGUACCUUUUGAAAUUGGGAGACUAUGUAUUUUAUCACAAACCAUGUAGUAUGUUGCCAGAAUGUAUUUACUGGGACUUCGUGCCCAUAAAACUUUAUACAACUUUCAGCAACGGAUCUCUUGGCUCUCGCAUCGAUGAAGAACGCAGC
rnacentral:misc_RNA from 1 species